AUUAAACGCUGGCGGCAUGCCUUACACAUGCAAGUCGAACGGCAGCACGGGAGCUUGCUCCUGGUGGCGAGUGGCGAACGGGUGAGUAAUGCAUCGGAACGUGCCCUGAAGUGGGGGAUAACGUAGCGAAAGUUACGCUAAUACCGCAUAUUCUGUGAGCAGGAAAGCAGGGGGAUCUUCGGACCUUGCGCUUUGGUAGCGGCCGAUGUCGGAUUAGCUAGUUGGUGGGGUAAAGGCCCACCAAGGCGACGAUCCGUAGCGGGUCUGAGAGGAUGAUCCGCCACACUGGAACUGAGACACGGUCCAGACUCCUACGGGAGGCAGCAGUGGGGAAUUUUGGACAAUGGGCGCAAGCCUGAUCCAGCCAUGCCGCGUGAGUGAAG
rnacentral:rRNA from 1 species